UGGGGUGGGCAGACAUGUAGUAUGUAGGAGUUUGCACAUAAGACGCGUGAUCCUUUGUGUGUACUAACAACACAUGAAUGUGUGUGUGUGUGUGUGUGUAUUACCCUUGUUUCUAUGCUUAUGUAAAUUCCUGAGCCAGGUGUUCUCUCAACACUCAUGCAAUUUUAAUCCAAGUGUUCCUCUACAUAUGUGACUUUGGAUGUGCUAGAAAAAGGCUCAUUGCCUCAACGUGGGGAGAGCAAAGGAACCCCAAGACAGGAAGGUCUUAUCCGAGCUUCUCCAAGGACUCAAACCUUGACCUCAUGAGAGGUGCUCAGAUUCCUUCUCCGUAGACUUGUCCCAUGGACAGGGCUUCCAUUCAGGGACGCUUUCUUCUCCUCCCAGGAGGGAAACCAAGCCAUCACGCCAAGGUUCUGCCCUCUCGUUUUGACUGACACGUGGUGAGACAAUCCCUGCCGCCCUUGAAGGAAGCCUGUUCUUUGCAGUCCUGCAGGGCAGAGCAGUUGGGAGUUGGAGUACGGACUGGCCAGGAGAGAACACACCCCGCCUGUUUCCAAUAACCCGAGGAGGAGGCUUGGUGACGAAAUGGAGGAAUUUCUCCAACGUCCCCUGCUCCAGAAUGAUCCCUUUUACAAACCUGGCUAAGAAAACACGGGCCGAGGCCUCUGAGAGCUCCAUGCCCUCCUGGCCCUGCCAUUUAUCCAAUUUACACUGAUCAGACCCACAUUGGCAAAUGAAAGCCCCCUCUUUCCUUCUGUUUGCAUGAGCUACUCACGGGGGCAAUUUGAACGGAUUGGAUUUCCCCUUGGAAAUGCUGGUAUUUCCAUGAUUUGAAAAGUCUGGCUCAAUUAGAAUAAUCUUCAGGCACUUCCUCUCCUUUUAUGCAGGUAAAUCAUGGAUAAUUUAAAAGCAAAAGAACCUUUCGGACCAUUGGGCCUGCCUCUUUCAUCUCCUCGCCCUCGUAAUUGCCCCUCCAUUGUGAGACCUCCGUGGCAGUCUCCACGCGUUAGGGAUGCGUACACUAUUUUGUUUUUAAGCCGGCAGUUGUGGAAAGUGACAGAGGUGCUAAGCUCUUGGGAAUACGUGGAAAAGCUGCUCAGAACCGAGGUUGCUUUCCUCUGCGAUGGAACAAAGAGAGAGAAAUCAAAGACGCAGGACCCCUGGGGACUGGGGCCUCCAGAGUGCCCUCCCCACGUCCCAGUCACAGAGACCAUAUUUUUGACAUCCAAGCUGCCUCCCCUAAUAAUUUCACUGACUUUCCAGUUGGAACCCUCUCGACGACGCACCCCCCAAGUCUGGAGCUGA
rnacentral:lncRNA from 1 species